rnacentral:rRNA from 1 species
AAUCUUUCGCAAUGGAUGCAAGUGUGACGGAGCAACGCCGCGCGAGUGAUGAAGGUUUUCGGUUCGUAAAACUCUGUUUUUAGGGAAGAACAAGUAACGUUCGAAUAGGUCGGUACCUGGACGGUACCUAACCAGAAAGCGACGACUAACUACGUGCCAGCAGCAGCGGUAAGACGCAGGUGGCAAGCGUUAUCCGGAAUUAGUGGGCGUAAAGCGCUCGCAGGCGGUUUAUUAAGUCUAGUGUGAAAGCCCGCGGCUCAACCGUGGAGGGUCAUUGGAAACUGGGGAACUUGAGUGCAGAAGAGGAGAGUGGAAUUCCAUGUGUAGCGGUGAAAUGCGUAGAGAUAUGGAGGAACACCAGUGGCGAAGGCGACUCUCUGGUCUGCAACUGACGCUGAGGCGCGAAAGCGUGGGGAGCAAACA